ACUGGAUGAUGGGGACACUUCCUAAGAAUUUCCUUCAAACAUUCCCAACUCUCAUAAAAUUCCUCGCCAUCUAGUUAAGUAAAACUAGUGAUAGCUCGUCUUAUGCU